AUCAUUGAGCUUGGGGCAAUGACGCAGCUAGUGAGGUUCUAACCGUGGUGGUCUAUUGCUGGUUGAAAAAAUAAAAUAAAGAAGAGAAGAGUAUACGUAUACGCCAAACUAUUUACGUUGUAAGAAAACA